rnacentral:rRNA from 1 species
AUGGCCCGAAUCGCACGGAAAGCUGCCUCUGCCAGGGUGAAUGUCCAAGUGCCUACAUCAUCUGCCCCACAAGCUUCAUCUGCUCAUACCUCUGGUCGGGUAAGCUAUGGUGGUCGUGAACAUCAAUUGCAGGAAAUAGUAGGACAAUGCAACAAACAUAAUGGUAAUGAAGGUGGUGAUGACUUCGAAUCAUACAGAGUGACAACUGAUGGUUCGCAUAGGCUCGAGACUCAUGAUCCUUACGACUAUGUCUACCACAAUCUACCCAACAAGCAUCAUGUUUUGAAGCCAGUAAAAGACUGUAUCCAUUGUGGAGCAGUGAGGUUCCAGUAUGAAGGUCCAGACUUCUGUUGCAGAAAAGGUAAGCUCAAGGUAUUUAUCCCAGAGGUUCCUCGAGAUCUACAAUGA